ensembl:lncRNA
CACUGAGAAGGUGCCAAGUUGCUAUAUUACUUUCAUUGCGUUGCCACCUCUGAUCAAAGAUGUAGACAUCAGCUGGAUCCUGCCGUCGUUUCCUACCACGACUCUGAUGACUGCAGCUCCCAGAUGGGUCAGCAGGAGGAGCUGCUGCUUCCCCGUGGUCUGAAACGCUUUAGGAAACUGGAGCUUUUGUGUCUUGGACCGUUUGCUUUCACACAGAUGAAGAAGUCAUGCAAAGGACACCUCAAGAUGGAACACCGUGAGCCUACAGGGCCUGAGAGCAGUGUUUUGAUCCACAGCUACAGCAGUGACUCCGAACCAUUUGGUCACAGGUCUGGAGGUGCUGGUGUAUCAGAAUGGACCCGAUCACAUACUGUGACUGAGAUGUCGGCGCUGAGCCGAUUUAAGCUUGUUUGAAGGAUGAAAGUCACCGCUGGCUGUGCUGGGGCUGAGAAAUUACACCUGGCGAUAAUAUUAUGAUCUUUUUUUUCUUCUUUAAGAGCUCUUUGCACUCUUCCUCCAUGCUGUGCUCACGUCAGGAGCAGGGAGGAGGCAACAGAGGAAUUGCUCUGGAGUGCUAUUUUAGCCCAUUCCCACUUGCUGUCUGUUCCUCAGCAAGCAGGGUGACAUUUUUCUCCUUAACGUGACAGCUCACAUUCAGAU